UACGUACAUAUGCAAUGGUAUUGCCUAAUAUUGCGAGUAAUACAAUCUUGUCGUAAUCUGCGAGACUUUAUAAAAGUACUUACUUAGUUGUGUGCAAUUUCAGAUAGGCACGAGUAAAUGUAUUUAAAUGUUUACAAGUAUAUUGGGAGUACUCGUGUGGAUGAUGCGAACAAAAGUAAUAAGAAAUCGGACGUGAUGAAAAUUUGAUUUUAACUGAAGAUAAAUGAAAGAUAGUUGUUUAGUACGUGGCGGAUAUUUUUUUACUAUGGCUAACAGUCUAGCAAAAGUCUUCGCUAUCGAAGAUUUUAAUCCUGAAAAAUUUGUGAAAGAACUUAGCGCUCAAUGUGUUGGAGCAGAUGAAUUAAGGCAACAAAGAGCUAAAAUUCAAGAUUUAGCAAAUAAUACUUCUGCACAAUUAAAGCGUAAUGUUUAUCAGAAUUAUAUGCAGUUUAUAGAAACUGCUAAGGAAAUUUCACAUUUGGAAAGUGAAAUGUAUCAGUUGUCUCAACUACUCAGUGAACAACGUUCGUUAUUAAGUACUCUAGGAUCCACUAGGACUACUGGUGUUACUUUUGAAGAUUUAUCUGAAUCCCAGUUAGAAGAUGUUAACGAUUCCACUGUCAAAGAAGAAGAACAUAAACAAAAAUUGGUACAAUUACUUGAAAAUGUAGAAGGUGCUAUGAGUUUAGCAGAAACACCUGGGCGCAUAUGUUUACAUGAAGGUUCUCUACUGGAAUUAGAUCCAUUGGAAGGAACACCACUAAAAAGAGUUCAUGCAUAUUUAUUUAAUGAUAUUUUAAUGAUUGCUUCUUGGUUAGCAAAUGGUAGUAGAAGAGGACCACCAAAAUAUAAAAUGCAAGCUGUUUAUAAUCUUGAAAGUUUGGCAAUUGUUAAUGUUAGAGAUCUUGGAACGGUCAAAUUGGCAUUCAAACUUUUGGCAUUUUCUGAUACAAGAGUAUUCCAGUGUGCGACUGCAACAAGUAAAAAAGAAUGGUUAGAUAAAUGCGAACAAGCAAAGAGAAUGAAGUUGAUUGAAGAUAAUCCAAAUGAAGCAUCUGAAAAUGAUAAACGAUCAAAAGAGGAAAAGACAGUACCUUCUAGAUCUAUGUCACUCGAUUCUAAUACCCUCGGUGUAGAUGAUGAAGAUACAGAAUAUCAUGAACCUCCACCAGAAUGGAUGCUAGAAGUGGCAGAAGAUCUAGAUUCUUGUAUAGCGCAACGUCACUUUGAAGAAGCUUAUAGUCUUUUGGAGAAAGCAAAAGACUACUUAAAAGAUGCACAAAUGACACCACUUUUGUUUGAAAUUCAAUCAAAAGUAAAUGAUAGAGGGAGAUCAUUGGUCGAUGUUUUAACAAAAGAACUUGAAUUAAGCGCGGAAGCGAAAUCAUUGCAAGGUGGAGGUUUGAGAAGUGCGCGGCGCGUGGUCAAAUUAUUGAUACAAUUAAGCAGAAGUGCUCAGGCCUGCCAGCUAUAUCUGCGGCUAUGUAGUGCUGUGUUAAAGGCACGUUUAAAACGAGUUAAAGGCGAAGGAGCUACCGCACCCUACGUAAAGCAGCUUAGCGCAAUUGCUUUUAGUAAUAUCGUUGAGAUUACGAAAGAAUUCUUAAAAAUUUUUGCCCAUUCGACAAAUUGUACGUCUGGUCUGGUUGUUUGGUGUAGUCAGGAAGUAAAAUACUUAACAACACAUUUAACUAAACAGCUUUUUAUUCCACAAGUGUCUUUAAACACGUUAGUAGAAUGUAUAGUUUGUGUUCGAAAUCACUGCGAUCAGUUAACGCAGUUAGGAAUGGAUUUUCGUUAUCAAUUAGAUGGUCAGCUCAGAACCCCAUUAGCAAAAGCUAUACAAGAUACAGGCGAGAAAUAUGUUGAGAUUGUAAAAAAGCAUAUAGCCGAAGACAUGUGGCGGCCGACUAAUUUGGAAACUUGCAAAAAUGUUAAAAAAUUGCUAUCAGAAUUUGAUGGCCUUGGAAUAACCGUUCCACAAUCUUAUUUAAAAAAUGACUAUUGGAUAGCAUUGACUAAUAAUACUUUAACUUUUUCAAGAAUUUAUGUAAGUUUAUUAGAAGAUUGCCUCAGUGUUGCUACACCAGAAUUAAUGGCUAUAAUAGACACGGUUUUAAUAUCGGUGAUGCGAACUCAAGUACAACACAUAAUAGUAUCGCUUACGAACCCUAAAUUAAAACAGGAGAAACAAUUGGUGCAUAAUAAUGCGUCGUAUAUUCGAGAUGUCGUAAUCAUGCGAGGACUAGAAUUAUACAAAUCGACGACAAAUCAAAUUUUUAAGAAAUUGUUGGCUCUAAAGGAACAAAUCGUAUUCGAUACAUCAUCUCCUACUAAACCAAAAUCUAUUCCUAAAACUGCAAUACCUAAAUAUUCUGCCACAGAAUAUAUUUAAUUACGAAGAAAAAUAUAAGUGUAUACAUAGAAGUGUAGGAAAUAAUUUACAAAGAAAAUAAUAGACAGUGUACAUAAAAUAAUACUCAUACAUAAAAUGAGCAAAAUUAUGUGAGUUAUAAUCAGGAAAGUGCAAA